rnacentral:sRNA from 1 species
AACGAGUGAAUAAGAUAAGGUAUACAAGAUGAAACUUAUGGGAGUUCUUUCUAUUCUAUUGGUGGCUUUAAUUUUGGUCCACGAAGGGUCGUCCUCAACAACAGGACAUACAGGACCUACAACUACAGCUGCACCAGGCGGAGCCUCUGCAAUCACCGGAAGUGUUAUACUGGCUGUGAUCUCAUUUGGCUUCCUCUGUUUUAUGAAACUGACGUAAAAGACAUCGAAUAUUGUUAAUUGAAAAAUUCGAAGAUAAACAGAAAUAGUUACUCAACAACAUGGCAUGAAAAAAGACGAAGAAAUGACUUUAUUGGUAAUUUGUUACUAAUUGAGUAUCUUUAAUGUACAUUAAAUUACAAGGAGAAUUAAAAUCAAUAUCACAUAAUGUUUACAGAAUAAUUAUAAUAAAGACAUUAAAUAACUUU